rnacentral:rRNA from 1 species
AAAGUCGUAACAAGGUCUCCGUAGGUGAACCUGCGGAAGGGAUCAUUACCGAGCAGAGGGCGCCUCGCGCGCCCGCCCUCCCAACCCUUUGCCGAACCGUACACCGCUGUUGCCUCGGGGCGCGGCCGCCUCAGCCGGGCCGGCCCCGGCGGACGUCCACCACAAACCCUGCAGUCCCUGCGUCGGAGUAUGAAUAUGCGAAAUCAAUCAAAACUUUCAACAACGGAUCUCUUGGUUCUGGCAUCGAUGAAGAACGCAGCGAAAUGCGAUAAUGUAAUGUGAAUUGCAGAAUUCAGUGAAUCAUCGAAUCUUUGAACGCACAUUGCGCCCCCUGGCAUUCCGGGGGGCAUGCCCGUUCGAGGGUCAUUACACCACUCAAGCCUGGCUUGGUAUUGGGCGGCGGGGACCCCCCCCGCGCCUCCAUGUGUCCGGCUGGACGGUCCUGAAUCUCAGCGUUGUGAAUCAAUUCGCUGGCGGGGACGACCGGACGCGCCGUUAAAACGUUUCAUCACAGGUUGACCUCGGAUCGGGUAGGGAUACCCGCUGAACUUAA